AACGGCGAGUGAAGCGGCAAAAGCUCAAAUUUGAAACCCUCGGGAUUGUAAUUUGAAGAUUUGGCAUUGGAGAAAGCUAACCCAAGUUGCUUGGAAUAGUACGUCAUAGAGGGUGACAACCCCGUCUGGCUAACCGUUCUCCAUGUAUUGCCUUAUCAAAGAGUCGAGUUGUUUGGGAAUGCAGCUCAAAGUGGGUGGUAAACUCCAUCUAAAGCUAAAUACUGGUGAGAGACCGAUAGCGAACAAGUACUGUGAAGGAAAGGUGAAAAGAACUUUGAAAAGAGAGUGAAAUAGUAUGUGAAAUUGUUGAUAGGGAAGGAAAUGAGUGGAGAGUGGCCGAGGUUUCAGCCGCCCCUCGUGGGCGGUGUACUGCCGACGCCGAGUCAUCGAUAGCGAGACGAGGGUUACAAAUGGGAGCGCCUUCGGGCGUUCUCCCCUAACCCUCCACACUGCCACCGACGACAUAAUCCACCCAUUUCACCCGUCUUGAAACACGGACCAAGG
rnacentral:rRNA from 1 species